rnacentral:lncRNA from 1 species
CCUGGUUUUUUUUUCUUCUGAUUUUAAUUAUUUUCCUUUUAUUAUUUUAAAUUUCUUUUUCUUUAAAAAUUCGUAGUAAUUUCAUUUUUUAUCCAAAAAUCCCAAAAUAAUUUCUAAAAUUCUCUUUUAUUUUUCUUCACCUGAUUUUUAAUUUUCCAUAUUUUAUUUCAUUGAUUUUCUAUUUUUUUUAUGAAUUUUCUCUUUUCU